CCUACGGGAGGCUGCAGUGGGGAAUAUUGCACAAUGGGGGAAACCCUGAUGCAGCGACGCCGCGUGAGUGAGGAAGGAUUUCGGUAUGUAAAGCUCUAUCAGCAGGGAAGAAAAUGACGGUACCUGACUAAGAAGCCCCGGCUAACUACGUGCCAGCAGCCGCGGUAAUACGUAGGGGGCAAGCGUUAUCCGGAUUUACUGGGUGUAAAGGGAGCGUAGACGGAAUGGCAAGUCUGAUGUGAAAAUCCGGGGCCCAACCCCGGAACUGCAUUGGAAACUGUAUUUCUAGAGUGUCGGAGCGGCAAGUGGCCUUCCUGGUGUAGCGGUGAACUGCGUCGAUAUCAGGUGGAACCCCAGUGGCGACGGCGGCUUGCUGGACGAUGCCUGACGUUGCGGCUCGAAAGCGUGGGGAGCAAACAGGAUUAGCUACCCCUGUAGUC
rnacentral:rRNA from 1 species